CCUACGGGAGGCAGCAGUAGGGAAUCUUCCACAAUGGGCGCAAGCCUGAUGGAGCAACACCGCGUGAGUGAAGAAGGGUUUCUGCUCGUAAAGCUCUGUUGUUGGAGAAGAACGUGCGUGAGAGUAACUGUUCACGCAUUGACGGUACCCAUCCAGACAGUCAAGGCUAACUACGUGCCAGCAGCCGAGGGAAUACGGAGGUGGCAAGCGUUAACCGGAUUUAUUGGGCGUAAAGCUAGCGCAGGCGGCCGGUUAGGUCUGAUGUGAAAGCCUUCGGCUUAACCAAAGAAGUGCAUCGGAAACCGGGAGACUUGAGUGCAGAAGAGGACAGUGGAACUCCAGGUGUAGCGGUGGAAUGCGUAGAGAUAUGGAAGAACACCAGUGGCGAAGGCGGCUGGCUGGACUGCAACUGACGCUGAGGCUCGAAAGCAUGGGUAGCGAACAGGAUUAGAUACCCCUGUAGUC
rnacentral:rRNA from 1 species